UCCACUAAUGGGUGGUACUUACAAACUGACGCCCUUUUUUGCUAUUUUUGUUAUUGGUGUUUUAUUUUAUAAUUGUUUUGUUGCUAACUAUAUUCUUUAAUGUGUCCUUAUGUGUCCCGCAUUGUUCCUUCUUCAAUUGUUUUUUUUUUGUUGUAAAUUGUGUACUGUCCAAUGUGUUCGUUCAUAUUCGAUAUAUGUCUGCUGAACUAUUUUCAUCUUUCAAGUAUCAUCGCUAGUAGGAGAUGAACAUGCAUGGGUUAUAUUCUUCUUAAAAAAUAUUUUUUGAAAAUUCGGUGGUUUAUAUAUCCGGCUUUUUAACUUUUUCAGUAUUUUCAAUUUCUAUCUAUUUUCUUGAUCGCCUAUUUAGAUGUCAACUCUCUCAUUGUUCACGUUUUUCUUUAUAUGUGUAUCAUUUUGAUAUUGUUGGAUAAGAAUUGGAAUGUCGUACAACAUUAUUUCAUAUUUUAAAAUUGAGAAUGGAAAUGGGGAAUCUGUCAAAGAGACAACAACCCGCCCAAAGAGCAGAAAACAGCCCAAGGCCACCAAUGGGUCUUCAACACAGCGAGAAAAUCCCGCACCCGGAGACGGGCUUCAGCUGCCCCCUAAACAAAAAUGUGUACUAGUUCAGUGAAAAUGGACGUCACACUAAACUCCGAAACAUAUAAAUGAACUAAAAUUAAAAAACAUACAAGACUAACAAAGGUCAGGCUCCUGACUUGGGACAGGCGCAAAAAUGUGGCUGGGUUAAAAAAACAUGUUUUGUGAGAUUUCAUUAUUUGUUACUUAGUUUUUAAGAUGAAUUUUGAUAUUAUCACAACGUUAUAUUUGACGUGGAUGAAUAUUAUCGAUUUCUAAUUUUACUACUAUGGUUUACAUGGUAACAAAGUAGACAUUUACCGUUUAUGGCAAAUGAUUUAAACUUUGUUUUCAAAGUUUGGUGAUAAACAUUACGGUAAACAGAUAAAAAGGAUAAUACAAUCCUUAUCAUAUCUCAAUUUUAAAAAACAAGGUCUUACUGUUACGUAAUCAUUCAAUAGUUUAACAAAAUUUGUUUUCAGUUCAUGUUACUAAACAGAGAAAUCUGAGCCAUCCGGUGCGUCAUGUAAGUAGAUAAGUUGUUGUUGUUCAUUUGCAUGUGAUAUAAGUAGUAUAAAUAUAGUGUUUUAUACCAAAUACACAUUAAGUCAUUGAAGUCUACAAAAUACACAUAAAAGUCCUGGACGUCUACAUACAACAAACUGUGAGAUGGAAACUAAAUAUCUACUUGUGCUUUUAAUUGCUCUUUAUACUGUAUUCAUGUAUACAGUUGAUGCACUGCAAUCUAUCAUCGAUCCAUCAAAUAUUCCAGGAUCAAGCUAUUGUGGAAAAGGCAGAAGAGUAAUAGGACAAUAUACCGUGGGUGUGAACUAAAGCAUACUUUGAUUUCAUAUGAUCAAAAAGGUAAAACAUGAACAUUUAUAGAAAGUUCAAGUAAGACGUUCCAUAACAGUACAGGUGAUGCAACAAACCAGUGAAACCAAGGAAGGCAUACAAUCUACAUGGCAGACUACUCUGAGUAACAAACUAGAAAUAUCAUAUAUAUUGUGUGAUGAAAACAUUACAUUCUGCUGAUGUAAGCUUGUGUAUUACGGUCGUUUUAUCUUAUUAGAAUAACUAUGACUUGCUUAUAUACCAUAUAAGCUAAGCAUCACGAAGAGACUACUGAGAAAUAUGAAAAAAAAUCAAUGUAAAAAUAAAAUGGAUAUAACUUUAUAUGUUUAAUCUGCAAAUAAAUGAAAUAAAUCCUAA